AUUUCCUAACGGAUGUGAGGUGAUAUCUCACUGUGGUUUUGACUUGCAUUUCUCCGUGAAUUAGUGAUGCUGAGCACCUUUUCACGUACCUGUGGGCUAUACUUUUCCCAGCAUCGUUUAUUGAAGAGACUGUCCCCAGAGGGACUUUUUCGAUUACAUUUCUUGCUGCAUUCCAAGCAUCUAGAAUACUGUGUUGCACGUAGUUGGUGCUCAAGCCAUCCUUUGGGACAAAUCUUAUAUCUGCAAGGCAAGGACAGUGAUGAUUCCUUACCACCUCCCAGAAGAGGACAGGGAGAAUCCAGUGACAGAGGAAAGAGUACGAGGAGAGACAGAGCUCACAUCACAGAGAUCCUGGGGGGAUGUCAUUUUCUACCUUCUUUCUAAGGUUUCUGUAAAAAGCUCCAAAUUUUUCUUUCUGAGUUGUGGCCACUUUCAAGAGCGUAAAAUCCGAGCCAUGGUGACUGCCACACGAUUUCACCUCCGGCUGCUGGUGUGAGAUGCAGUGAUGGGGCUCCGGGGGUUGACAUCUAAGUCGCAGCCCUGGGGAAGAGUGCAGUUAGAAAUGAGGGCUCUCUGAUGUAAUGCUGAUACCAGUGGAGUUUGGGGCUUUGUGCCAUGACUUUAAGCAAUUCAGGCAGGGAAGGUUGAAGGAGCUGAUGGAAAGGAACAGCAGCAGAAGGAGGGGGAGAUCAAGACUGAAGAGGAGGGAGAGAACAAACAGAGACGACUCGUGCUAUCUUUAAUCCACGUUAAGUUCACCUGCUACCUGGUACAGGGACCAAGGGAAAUCUUCAACUUAGUUUUUGGUCAGUGUAGGCCGGUGACCCUCAAAUCUACACUUGGAACAACUCUCCAUCAUUCGAUAACAUUUUCUGCCCAGCCUACCUUAGUUGGUAUAAAGAAGUUGUGGGGCGCCUGGGUGGCUCAAUCGGUUAAGCGUCCGACUUCGGCUCAGGUCACGAUCUCACGGUUUGUGGGUUCGAGCCCCACGUCGGGCUCUGUGCUGACAGCUCAGAGUCUGGAGCCUGCUUCAGAUUCUGUGUCUCCCUCUCUCUCUGCCCCUUCCCCAGCUCACAUUCUGUCUCUGUCUCAAAAAGAAA